rnacentral:tRNA from 1 species
GCCUGGGUGGCUCAGUCGGUUAAGCAUCUGACUUCGACUCAGGUCCUGAUCUUGUGGUUCAUGAGUUCGAGCCCCGUGUCGGGCU